rnacentral:misc_RNA from 1 species
GAUGAAGAACGUAGCGAAAUGCGAUACGUAAUGUGAAUUGCAGAAUUCAGUGAAUCAUCGAAUCUUUGAACGCAUAUUGCGCUCUCUGGUAUUCCGGAGAGCAUGCUUGUUUGAGUAUCAGUAAACACCUCAACUUCCAUAUCUUUUUUGAAAUGGGAGUUGGACUUCAGUGAUCCCAACGCUUUUCCUCACCGAAAAGUGGCGGGUUACUUGAAAUGCAGGUGCAGCUGGACUUUUCUCUGAGCUAUAAGCAUAUCUAUUUAGUCUGCCUAAAAAACAGAUUAUUACCUUUGCUGCAGCUAACAUAAAGGAGAUUAGUUCUUGUGCUGACUGAUGCAGGAUUCACAAAGACAGGCUUCGGCCGACUUUGUAAACUCGAUCUCAAAUCAAGUAAGACUACCCGCUGAACUUAAGCAUAUCAAUAAGCGGAGGA